rnacentral:rRNA from 1 species
UACGUAGGUGGCAAGCGUUGUCCGGAUUUACUGGGCGGAAAGAGCGCGCAGGCGGUCGUUCAAGUCGCGUGUGAAAGCCCCCGGCUCAACUGGGGAGGGUCACGCGAUACUGAUCGACUCGAAGGCAGGAGAGGGUAGUGGAAUUCCCGGUGUAGUGGUGAAAUGCGUAGAUAUCGGGAGGAACACCAGCGGCGAAGGCGACUACCUGGCCUGUUCUUGACGCUGAGGCGCGAAAGCUAGGGGAGCAAACGGG